rfam:Aspergillus fumigatus Af293 chromosome 3, whole genome shotgun sequence.
GGCCGGAUGGCGCAAUGGUAGCGCGUUGGUUUUCGGCACCAAAGGUUGCGCGUUCGAAUCGCGUUUCGGUCG